GCCAAGCCAACACAACGAGACAUAAAGACGUACCUUCGGUUUUGUAAGAAAGUUCUAAACAAUGAACCAUGAAAAGUAAAAUUUGGUUGAAACAGAGUAUAUCUUCAUCCUAGCUUCUUCCUCACUUCCGACAACCAUGGCAAGGGUUUUGAUAUAGCUGUCGAUAAUCUCAUCCCUCGUGAGUUGCUCAUCUGGCUUCUCCAUGACAACGAGCCAGUGUUCAAAAUCACACCCAUCAAGCAAUAUGGUCUCCUUGGGUGGGCGAUUAGACCAGUUAGGAUUCGGAUCAUUGAGAGACGAAGAAGUGGCACGGGUAGCGAACUCCCUCACGCUCGGAGACGCAGAGAGACAGCGGAAAUCAGCGGCGAGUAUAGCAGCGAGGGGACGGAGGCGGCGCAGAAGGGAGAAAGAGGAGUGAGAAGAGGCGGCUCCGGUGGCAGUGAGAAAGGAACGAGAGAACUUAGAAGCCAAAAUUAGGGUUUUAGGGAGAGAGCGAGAGAGGAGCUGAGUCG
rnacentral:misc_RNA from 1 species